GGAAAGGUAGUUCAGUGGUAGAAUGCUUGCCUUGCAUGCAUGAGGCCCUGGGUUCAAUUCCUCAGCACCA
rnacentral:tRNA from 1 species